GACGAACGCUGGCGGCGUGCUUAACACAUGCAAGUCGAACGCUGAAGCCUAGCUUGCUGGGUGGAUGAGUGGCGAACGGGUGAGUAACACGUGAGUAACCUGCCCCCUUCUUUGGGAUAACGCCCGGAAACGGGUGCUAAUACUGGAUAUUCACUGAUCUUCGCAUGGGGGUUGGUGGAAAGGUUUGUUCUGGUGGGGGAUGGGCUCGCGGCCUAUCAGCUUGUUGGUGGGGUGAUGGCCUACCAAGGCUUUGACGGGUAGCCGGCCUGAGAGGGUGACCGGUCACAUUGGGACUGAGAUACGGCCCAGACUCCUACGGGAGGCAGCAGUGGGGAAUAUUGCACAAUGGGCGCAAGCCUGAUGCAGCGACGCCGCGUGAGGGAUGGAGGCCUUCGGGUUGUAAACCUCUUUCGCUCAUGGUCAAGCCGCAACAGUGGUUGUGGUGAGGGUAGUGGGUAAAGAAGCGCCGGCUAACUACGUGCCAGCAGCCGCGGUAAUACGUAGGGCGCGAGCGUUGUCCGGAAUUAUUGGGCGUAAAGGGCUUGUAGGCGGUUGGUCGCGUCUGCCGUGAAAUCCUCUGGCUUAACUGGGGGGCGUGCGGUGGGUACGGGCUGACUUUGAGUGCGGGAGGGGAGACUGGAACUCCUGGUGUAGCGGUGGAAUGCGCAGAUAUCAGGAAGAACACCCGUGGCUAAGGCGGGUCUCUGGGCCGCUACUGGCGCUGAGGAGCGAAAGCGUGGGGAGCAACAAG
rnacentral:rRNA from 1 species